rnacentral:rRNA from 1 species
AUACGUAGGGAGCGAGCGUUGUCCGGAUUUACUGGGUGUAAAGGGUGCGUAGGCGGCCCUGCAAGUCGGGUGUGAAAACCGUCGGCUCAACUGACGGAUUGCACUCGAAACUGCGGGGCUUGAGUGGAGCAGAGGCAGGCGGAAUUCCCGGUGUAGCGGUGAAAUGCGUAGAGAUCGGGAGGAACACCAGUGGCGAAGGCGGCCUGCUGGGCUUUAACUGACGCUGAGGCACGAAAGCAUGGGUAGCAAACAGGAUUAGAUACCCUGGUAGUCCAUGCCGUAAACGAUGAUUACUAGGUGUGGGGGGGUCUGACCCCUUCCGUGCCGGAGUUAACACAAUAAGUAAUCCACCUGGGGAGUACGACCGCAAGGUUGAA